UCUAAUCACAAAAGGCCACCACCCAUGUGCCCAUACGCCAUUCCACUUCAAGGGUCGAGAGUGACCCGGCGAGCACAGCGCCGCCGCCACUGGUGAGCCAACCCGGGCAAGCGAGGCACACCAUCCGGUGCGACCCCGGUGAGCCGCCCCAUGACCCAAGCGAUGUCGUUCUCACCACGUCGACAGUACCCUACGUCCCCAUCGACGCUGCCACAUGUGACCACGGCGAGCCAUCCCACGACCCAUUGCGCGCGACGCCGCUCCGGCGACCAUGGUUGCGUCCGCUCUUACACCAAUCAUGCAGCUGUACUGCAACGCACUCACGUGGGCGCUGUGGUUCUCGGCAGAGGUCUCUCCGGUCCAGAUCUGCUGACAACCCAAUGCGCAUAGCCGCAUAGGAGUUCUCUGUGAUUUCAAUCUUGGCUAGGCAGCCCUUGUGGAGUGACUGGGAAAGGAAAUGGAAUUGGUUGCUGUUAACUGUGCCUACGCAUCCAUCCGUCUGAGGUAAGCUGUAGGAAAGCUAGGCCACAAAUUGACUUGAUAUUAAAUGUUGUAGAUACAAUCCAACAUAUGACAGCGUCCAGUGGGAUAUUUUUCUUCCAAGGUACUCCUAUUUUCGACAGGGUUUGGUAAUGAUAUGAGAGGGUCAUUUUCCUUGAUUUUUCUUCAAAGGUGUGGAUCUGUUACCAUCGCUGACCAUAUACUUUCAUGUUUGCUCUUCUUGGGAACUGAACAUUUAAGUAUGAAAUGCAAUGUUCAGUUAUACAGAAAAAAUCGAUACGUUCAAGACUACGUUCGUAAGAAGUUUGUUUCUAGAGGACAAAAGAUGGGUUUAACAUAAAUCCUUACGAUGGACUUCACAUUGUCUAGCAUUUGACCUUUUUUAUGUUGUGCCUUGCAGUAUGCAGAACAUAUUGAAGCCUGUUCUUCAGAUGUUCAAACAGUGUACAAAUGAAUGUACGAAGAUGACAUAAAAUCAUUUGCUGCUUAUUUGAACAUAUCUUCAGCAACACGGGUUAUCUAUGCUAUGCCGACAGAAACAUGACGCUGAAUCUUCAUUGUUAUUAUGCCACUCCAGCAGAGGUAGAGUAGUCGCACAGUUCACAAGCGAGAUGACUCACAACCAGGUCGACCAACAAGCACAAUGGAGACAGUCAAGGCAGUACAAUGUGUGCUGCACGCUCAAGCCUAGGAUCCUUCUUCCCUCCCAUUGAUUUUCUCCCCGUAACAAAGGUUUCCUUUAUCGGAGUUUGAUGAUGAAACCUGGGCAAAAAAAGUGUAGGAUAGUUGAAACCAGAGAUGUAUUGUUACUUUUCGCUCAGGAUUUUCACAUGUUUUGUUGCUUGUUACUUCCUCCAUUCUUAAAUAUAUGUCUUUUUAAAGAUUCCAAUA